CUCAAACAACCAUUAGUCCUGUUUUCCAGCAGCUGCCUGUAGAGGAACCAAAAACAAUUUUUUUUUUAAUCAACCCUCACUCUGGUCUUCAUGGAAAGCUGCCUACUUUGCUGUUGGGCCUCUCAGAUUGCAUGUUUGAUCUAUCAGGAACUGGCCUUCCUCCACCAACUCAGAAUUCUCUCUAGUCUGGUCACUACGGAGCGGAUUACUACUUCAUAUCCCAUCAAUGACAGAGCCAUCAUUACGAAAACCUUUUCUGACAACCACUGAAGAGAAACCAUCUCCACACCGUGCAUUUUGCAUCACUUCCGUUGCUUCUUUACCUGAUUUAUCACAAAGACUAUGUACCACACAUCUUCUUUAUUAAUGCAUUGACAAUCAGUGAAGACAAUGAAAACCCACCACUUUUGUCCGUGA
rnacentral:lncRNA from 1 species